UACGUGGGGGCCAGCGUUGUUCGGAAUUACUGGGCGUAAAGGGCUUGUAGGUGGCCAACUAAGUCAGACGUGAAAUCCCUCGGCUUAACCGGGGAACUGCGUCUGAUACUGGAUGGCUCGAGUGUGGGAGAGGGAUGCGGAAUUCCUGGUGUAGCGGUGAAAUGCGCAGAUAUCAGGAGGAACACCAGCGGCGAAGGCGCUGCUCUGGGCCGGUACUGACGCUGAGGAGCGAAAGCGUGGGGAGCGAACAGG
rnacentral:rRNA from 1 species